rnacentral:tRNA from 1 species
UGGUCUAGUGGUUAAGACUCGGCACCUUCACUGCUGCAACCAGGGUUCAAUCCCUG